UGGCGGACGGGUGAGUAAUGUCUGGGAAACUGCCUGAUGGAGGGGGAUAACUACUGGAAACGGUAGCUAAUACCGCAUAACGUCGCAAGACCAAAGAGGGGGACCUUAGGGCCUCUUGCCAUCGGAUGUGCCCAGAUGGGAUUAGCUGGUAGGUGGGGUAACGGCUCACCUAGGCGACGAUCCCUAGCUGGUCUGAGAGGAUGACCAGCCACACUGGAACUGAGACACGGUCCAG
rnacentral:rRNA from 1 species